AGUUCAGGCAAAAAUACAUUUUUCCCUCCGAAAGACACCACAAGGAUCCUCAAUGAUUUGCUGGAACAGGCUCAAGCCAAGCUCAUUUCCCAGUGUAACUACAGCAGCAAAAAGAAGGGGGCAGUAUGGCAGCAGAGGAAGAAAGACUACUGCUGCUACGGUGGGGAAAUAGCAGCAAAGGCUAUCCCAGCCAGGAGUAAACCUGCCUUGCCAUUUCCUGAGCUGCUUGGGAGGGUUGGAGUUUUGACCUUAGAAGGAAGCCAAUGUGAGACUUGGAGGAAGGGAUCCGAAGAAGGACAACCCUGAUGCUUGGAUUAUCAUCAGCCACAGAGUGGAACUCCUGAUUCAACCUAUAGCCCCAGGGCUACAUUCCCAGUACCACAGGAUUGCAGCCUACAGAUAUUUAGAAUUGCAGUCUAAGACUGCAUUCCUCUUGUCUUUGUGUGUGUCAUCUAAUUGCUUCAUGGGUCAUUAUAGGUUGAAAUCUUCAUAGAACAUGAUUGUUCUCAAGCCCUGCUUUCUGACUACAGGUGCCUGUUUCUGUCCUACUUUUGCAAUGCCUCAGUUUAAACACAUGGUAAUCACUGAGAACAAUUUUCUGGAAUGAACUGCUUGGUCCCAGGUGUGCCUUCACAUAGAUGCACUAGACUUAAGAAAUUGACCCAUGAGAUCUAUCCAGGUGAACAUUAUUAUUGUCUGACAACAUGAUCUUCCCUUUUCUUUCUGAGUUUAGCUAUAAUUCUUAGGAGAAGUGGAUUUCCCCAGCAAGCACCUAUUGUUGUGAGUCAUCUCUGAAGGCAAAUAAUGGCUUGCUCAUGAAUGAGUAGUUAAGACCUAUUAGCUUUACAGAAACACCAAAUUAACUUAAUGGAAGUUUAGCAAUGUGAGUUCUGGCUGGUGAAUAGGUGGUAUUUUCUAAAUCAUUGGGGUGGUAACUUCUCAGGUGUUAUUUGGAACUAUUUCACACCUUGAAUGUCUCUCUUAAAGUUUUGAAUAAAACCGACAGCAGGUCCGCUACUCCACUGACACAGAAACCACCAGUUGCCUCUGUAACCAAGUAUCUCCUGCCCAAGUCCAGCAGCCUAAUCACUGUUCUGUUCUGUCUUUUGAUAGUUCAUUGCUCUAUUCUAUGCUAAAUAAUCCCAGACAAUAGGGCAUUAUACCACACAAUACAGAAUGAGAGAGAGAGAUGGAUUAAAACAGCUGUCAAGAUUUAUACAUUCUACUUGGGAGUUUGGGAAGCUUUGUGAUGAGCGCCUGCACUUCCUGUAUAACUGAAACGAAGAGAUGGAGAAAAUCAGAUAAUCCGUCUUCUAGCUCAUGCCUUCAAUAAAGUAUGCUUUACAAGUUGAGAAAGGGCAACACAAAGCCAGAAGCUACUAAGAAUCUAAGAAAAGCUGGAUAGACUUCUGGCAUAAAGUUUGCCACAGGAACUUCAUAGCUGGCUAUUUACAUAGUAAACACCACCAAACCAUGCCAAAGUAUAAUACCAAUAUUACAGUGAUUACACAAUGAGGAUAUUGCUACAAAUGAAAUAUUACUUUAGUCUUCAAAAUUUCUGGCAUUGCAAUAACUUGAGCUGGACAUUCAGAAAUUUAGUAUAGGCAUCCAAUGAAAAAGAACAGGUAAUGAUACCAUGGUAAAGAGGACACAGCAAAUAGAAGAAUCCCAGGGGUCAGCAUUUUUCAGUGUCUUGCUUUCUACAAUGCUGAAGAAAAAAUUAUAGGGGUCAGAUUUCCUUUUUGGGGAAGGCAAUGUUCCCAUUUUGUGCUCCCCAGUCACUACACAUAGUUAUUGGUAUCAACAGACCUGUUGAGCGAAUGAAUUGUAUGGAAAAAUGUCUAGGAGAAUGAGAAAAAUGUGAAGAGAUAGCUACCUCUUUUUUUGAGGAGAUAAAUUCCACAAAGUUUCAGAAGACAUGUGGCAAAUACCACAUUCAUUUACAAGCCAGCUGAAAAAGUGGGGAAAUAGGAGUCUAAUCUGGUACAGGAAACCAAAGAAUAUUUGAAGAUUUAGAUUACCCCACUUCCAUAUGUCCCUGCCCGCAGUGGAGUACCCCUCUGUCCCUCUCACUCCAGGUUUUAUCUUUGUGUUUACGCGGCCUGCCCUUGUUUUAUUGUUUUUUGAUUUCUUGAUGUAAUGCCUAUUAUCAUUUAUUGUAUUUUUUAAUGGUGCUAUGAUAUGUUGUUUUUAUAUCUUAUUAUAUUGUAUUGCUCUGGGCAUGGCCCAAUGUUAGCCGCCCCUCGUCCCCGUUGGGGAGAUGGUGGCGGGGUAUAAAUAAAGUAUUAUUAUUAUUAUUAUUAUUAUUAUUAUUAUUAUUAUUAUUAUUGAAGGCCUGUUUGAUGGUGGCGCCUGCUAACUGUAAAUGUUAUACAGAAUGGUGAUUAUGUUAACCUGCUGUGCAGUGAAAACAAAACAAAUGCUAUUAGGACUUCAUCCCAUGUAGUCUUUGCUCCGUUUCUUUGCACUGCUGAAACAGAGUCCAUCACAUGACAUAAGGCCACUUCUGGUGGCUGCCCGUGGGACUCUGUUGCAUCAAUGUGGGGAAACAGAGCAAAGACUGUGUGUUCCCCAGCUUCUCUCCAGAAGACAGAGAGAAGCUGAGGAAAGGACAUGGAAUAGCUGCCAUCCCUGAAUAUGGAAAGGCACUGAACCUCAAUGGUAAUGUGAAAAAAAGACGGUUUCCGCUGCUUUCCCCACUCCCCCAGG
rnacentral:lncRNA from 1 species